GUAGGGUGAGAAGGAUGGCAGGAUUUCUUUCUUGCUAUGAAGCCCUUAAUAACUGAGGUGCAGUGUGAAACAGGCUGUUGGACUCUGACAAGACCUGGAAAGAUCAAUAGAUCAGCUUUCAGGGAUGGAAGGGUGUGAGUGCACCAGUAUAUUUCUCUGAAGUUUGCCUGUGAAAGAAUGCAAGUGCUUUUGUGGAGACAUCUCUACUUGUCUGCAUCACGGCAGGAACGUCUAUUGUACAGCAACAGGCAUUCUCCCUGCCUGUCAAUCCAAAGCUCUUUAAUUUGCAAGUAAUUUGAGAAACUUUUCUUCUGGUUUUCUUGUAAGAUGAUAUCUCAGUCCAUGAACAAAUCCAGUGCCAUUAAAAUAAUUAACAUAAAGCAGAUUCUUCAUUGAUUUAGGCUCACAAGCAAGUGUGCUGUUUAUUUAAAGUCUGUCUCACCUUCAACAAGUGGACAUUUGAGAGGCUUUGUCAGCAUCAGUACCCACCCCCUACUCUCAGUCAGUAGCCUACAUGUUGAGACACAUCAACAGGAUAGUAAGUACUUCCUCUGCUUUUGUUUAAUCUUUGGUUACCUCUCAGACUACAGUACUGCAGCUGCACUUAUCAGCAAGCACUGGAGUGUUUCAGAUGCAGAGAAGAACAAGAGAAUGUGUAGUUCUGGAAAAAGUUCUGGUGUAAGAACUCAAACCUGCAUCCACUUUAUUACGGGGCUGUGGUGAGAGCUCAUCUUUCUGCAGAAACAGUCCUGAUAGUGGAACUUAGUCACAGAAGGUAAAACCCAAGGAGACAAAAAGCAAGGAAAGAUAAACUGGUAAGACCAGUAGCACUGAACCACAGAAAAGCAUCCUGUUCCUCGAUGCCUCUUCACAUAAAGUCAUACAGGCAGAGGAAGGGAAGCUUCCAACAGCUUGGCAGACCUCUGCCAAGGACAUUUAACAUUCAGCUCAAAGCAAUUCCCCCUGAAUUUUUGCAGUACAGGCACAUUGGCAUUAAGCAUUCCAGAAAGUAAGAACUCGAAACCAAAGAAUGGCAGAGACUAGGAACAAAGCAAGAUGAAUGCCACAUAACAUUUAUCAAGUUUGUCUGUCACAUGUACUUGAUAAUUAUAUAGGGUUAAUAAAUUACCAUCAGACUACAUCUGCUGCUGCUCCCUCAGCUAUUCAUGAUGCCACCAUGUGCUACCAGUACUUGUAUUAUGAUGCACAUGAGUGGAGGCUGCUUUCUAAAAGCAACAUGCCUUUGGCCAUUCCUCCUGGCCCUAUAACCACCUCCUACCACUCUUUCAAGUACAGUUUGAAGUGUGUGGUGUAGCAACUAUACAUUGUACUCAUUGGAGCUAUGGCUCCUGGGCCAGAGGACCAAAAGAGAAGUAAAGCUUAUCCACCUGAAGUAAGAAACUUGCAGCUUACUGUGCUACUUCACCAAAACAUCCCUCAUAAAACAUCCUGUUAGGAUGUUCAACAAUGGCAAUGCUUCAUAACAAAAGUUGUCUCUGUAGGUUACUGUACUGAUAUGCAAUGCACACAACUAUCUUCAACUGCAACACUACCUCUUCAUAUCCACUGCUCUAUCUGAGGCACUCAGAUCUCUUCCUGGAAGGACAAGCAGCACCUUAGAAGUUACCAUCAUACUGCCAUCCUUCCUGGAGCCAGGACAAGAGCUCAAGCAGCCUUCUCUCCCAUCUCUGCUGGUUCAUCUCCAGAGAAACAUUAGCUAGAGCUGCUACAACAAAUGUUAUUCUGGAUAAAGUGACGAGGUCACAGGAAACACCUACUAUUCUCCAAAGGCUGUGUCAAGUCAGUACUGUUCACAACACUUGUCAUGGAGACUAAUACAGGGACAUCAGCAAUAUGACUGCUCUAAGCAGAGCAGUUUACAUGAAACUCUCUCAGUAACAGCUACUUAAGUUUCUUCUAAACUGAAAUAAUGACAGACAGUAAACAGAACUUAUAUAAAUAGAAAAUGGUUUAUUAAAAACAAACAAAACCAAACAAAAAGUCACAACACAAUCUCACUUCAUUGUCUGGCCAAAGGUCAGAUUUGAA